rnacentral:piRNA from 1 species
ACCUGGAGACUCUCCUCAAGCGG